rnacentral:lncRNA from 1 species
GUGUAACCUAGUCUUCUCAAAACAAUGGGCCGGCUUCUUACACUGUAUCUACCUAGACAACUAUGGCGACUUAGUCUUUGCUCAGUUGUUACCAACUCAGAAGCAAAACUGAACUGUCUGACCUUCAAAAGCUUGGUCAGGAUAGGUCAACAGUUCUUACUUAUUUAUCUUGACUCUUAAUGAUGUUCAUUACCAGAGUUCUGGAAAAUAAGGAAAAAGAUUAUGGAUUAUGGAUCUCUGGAAUAAAAACAUUUAGUGUCACAGCAAAAGAAGUUUUGAGUUUAUAUACAAAUUAAGUAAAAGACUAAUUUUGGUUUUGAAAAACUCGUUCUCUAAACUUUUACAGGAAGUUUAAAUAAAUUACAUCAUGAACAAAACUGCAGUAUGCCAGUUCCUAUCCUCAUGACCUCACGAUUCUGCCUGAGCUCCACAUCAAUGAAAGGAAAAUCGGAUAAUGAAGCACUUAGUCUAAUAUCUCAAUAGCAACCACCAAUUAGGAUUACUUUUUAGAAAAGAAAAAAAAACCUAACCUUAUAUGUAAAUGUAUCUAGUGUGCAAAUGACAUAAUGCUUAUAUGUAUGUAAAUCUAUCUAGUGUGCAAAUGACUUAAUGCCGGGGUGGGUAAACUGUGGCCGAGAGUACCCCAAAUCCAGCCCACUCCUGCUUUUGUAAUAAUUCACCAGCUAAGAAAUGUUUUCAUAUUUUUUUAAUAAUUGGGAAAAAUAUAUACAUUUUGUGACACGUGAAAAACCACACAAAAUUCAAAUGUCAGGGCUUGUAAAUAAAGUUAUAUUGGAAUGCAUCCUCAUUCAUUAAUUUCUGCAUUGAUCAUUGUUUUCUGGGCAUGGCUAAGUUGAACAGUCAUGACAGAGAUUAUGUAGCCCACAAAAUCUAAAAUAUUGACUAUCUAUCUCCUUUCAAAAAAAAGUUUGUUGACCCCUGAGAUAAAGGACUAAUUCUGAAUUCAAUUUGAAUUUUACUUCAAAUUAUUGAGCCAAAUUUGUAUGUUAAAAUG